CUACGGGUGGCUGCAGUGAGGAAUAUUGGACAAUGGAGGCAACUCUGAUCCAGCCAUGCCGCGUGCAGGAAGACGGCCCUAUGGGUUGUAAACUGCUUUUAUACAGGAAGAAUGGUACCUACGUGUAGGUAUUUGACGGUACUGUACGAAUAAGGAUCGGCUAACUCCGUGCCAGCAGCCGCGGUAAUACGGAGGAUCCAAGCGUUAUCCGGAAUCAUUGGGUUUAAAGGGUCCGUAGGCGGUUUUUUAAGUCAGAGGUGAAAUCCUGCAGUUCAACUGUAGCAUUGCCUUUGAUACUGAAAGACUUGAGUUAUUGUGAAGUAGUUAGAAUGUGUAGUGUAGCGGUGAAAUGCAUAGAUAUUACACAGAAUACCGAUUGCGAAAGCAGAUUACUAAUAAUAUACUGACGCUCAGGGACGAAAGCGUGGGUAGCGAACAGGAUUAGAUACCCCCGUAGUC
rnacentral:rRNA from 1 species